rnacentral:rRNA from 1 species
CAUGUCUUUUUGAUAAUAAUUUAAAGUCUGACCUGCCCAAUGAUUUAUUUAAAUGGCCGCGAUAUUUUGAUCGUGCAAAGGUAGCAUAAUAAUUAGUUUUUUAAUUGAGAACUGGAAUGAAAGGUCGAACGAGAAAAUAACUGUCUCAAUUUAAGUUUAAAUUAAAAUUUUAUUUUUAAGUAAAAAAGCUUAAAUAACUUUAAAAGACGAGAAGACCCUAUAGAGUUUGAUAUUUAUUGAUUAUUUUUUAAUUUUUAGAAUUUAAUUUUAAAAUUAGUUUGUUAAAUAUUUAAUUGGGGUGAUUGAAAAAUUUAAUAAACUUUUUUUAUAUAUCAUCAUUAAUUUAUGAUUAAAUGAUCCAUAUUUUAUGAUUAAAAGAUAAAAUUACCUUAGGGAUAACAGCGUAAUUUUUUUUGAGAGUUCUUAUCGAAAAAAUAGAUUGCGACC